GCCGCGAAAGCAUGACGAAGUGAUGCGCCCGCCUUGUAAGCGGGAGAACCGGGUGCAACUCCCUGUCGCGGCC
rnacentral:tRNA from 1 species